ACAAAAACAACUUCUUGUGACAUACUUAUAAUAACAUUUUUGACAUAUGUCAUCCUAAAUAAUAAAAAGCUGUUUAAGUGGUAUUUUAAGAAAUGACACUAAAAAUACAUUUUUACUUUAAUAUCUUUUUAGCUGUUGAAGAUAAAAAUCUUAUCACUAUUUAAUUUAAAUUUUAAUUUUAACUUUCAGCCUAAUUUUUCUCCACGUUCUUCAUCAAUCAUCAAUAAAACCAACCACUAACUCUUCAGUUAUCUCUUUAUUAUCGCAAAUAUUUUUCAUUAAUAGCAUCAAGAUACUAAAGGUUAAAAGUGCAUCUGAACUCUCAAUCCCACUGGGAAUCUUUUCGUUGCUCAAGUUUAAACCGAUCACACGGCGAAGAGCGCUGUCGCACCUUGCUCCAGCCCAAUUGCAACAAUCUGCAGUAGAAGUCCAGCGCAAUAAUCUUGUGGAUGUAAAUGGAUCAAAUUUUAAGCUAUUGAGGAACUGGAGUACUAACAACAAUUGCUCAUCGCUCCGGCAUAAGCCAGAAACAAGAGAAGUUACAUGGAAUGGAAGAGCAGUAUGGAAGAAAACCAUAUUAAGAAUGGAUUUUCCUUCAUUUGCAGAAGAUUAGGAGACGCUCAUGUUACUGAAGUUUGGAAGAGGUGAUUGGUCUGAUAUUUAGGUGGCACUGCAGGUCAAGAACAAUUGAUGCGGUAGUCGGAUCUAAAAUUGCAGAAUUCCCCUUGUGUCAAAUUCAAAUGGUUGUCCUUAUUAGGUUAACAUCAAAAAUAAAAAUGGUCCAUUUACAGCAAGCACCUAUAAAUUGGUGGACAUCUACAACUGAUAUUAAAUUCGGAGCUCGACGGAAUAUAGUUUGAUAGAGUUCUUUUUUUUUUCAUUCCCAUUGUAAUCUAUAAUUUUUUAAAUAAUAUUAAAAAUAUGUGUGUAACUUUUCAGAUUAUUUUUAUCAAAUAUAUGGAGCAUAUGUUA